rnacentral:rRNA from 1 species
UACGUAGGGUGCGAGCGUUAAUCGGAAUUACUGGGCGUAAAGCGUGCGCAGGCGGUUCGUUGUGUCUGUGGUGAAAGCCCCGGGCUUAACCUGGGAAUGGCCAUGGAAACUGGCGAGCUGGAGUGUGGCAGAGGGGGUGGGAAUUCCGCGUGUAGCAGUGAAAUGCGUAGAGAUGCGGAGGAACACCGAUGGCGAAGGCAGCCCCCUGGGCUAACACUGACGCUCAGGCACGAAAGCGUGGGGAGCAAACAGG